rnacentral:misc_RNA from 1 species
GAUGAAGAACGCAGCGAAAUGCGAUAAGUAGUGUGAAUUGCAGAAUUCAGUGAAUCAUCGAAUCUUUGAACGCACAUUGCGCCCUUUGGUAUUCCAAAGGGCAUGCCUGUUCGAGCGUCAUUUGUACCCUCAAGCUUUGCUUGGUGUAGGGCGUCUUGUCUCUAGCUUUGCUGGAGACUCGCCUUAAAGUAAUUGGCAGCCGGCCUACUGGUUUCGGAGCGCAGCACAAGUCGCACUCUCUAUCAGCAAAGGUCUAGCAUCCAUUAAGCCUUUUUUUCAACUUUUGACCUCGGAUCAGGUAGGGAUACCCGCUGAACUUAAGCAUAUCAAUAAGCGGAGGA